rnacentral:lncRNA from 1 species
CAAGGGGAAUUCUUUAGGGCUUUUAAUAAAGAAAACAAAUGAAUUUUUAAAAGAAAUAAUUUUAAAAUCCGUUCUUAAAAUCAGCAACUAAACGAAUCAAUAGGAUAAUUCUAUCAAAAACUCCUUUUUUAAUAGUAAUAAUAAUAAUAUUAAUCCAUCCCAAAUUGGGCUUUAGGCUAUGGGCCUUAUAUCAGAUCCACGGUUACAAAAUGAAGAAAACACAGACAACAACACCGGUGACUUGAGAUCAGAACUGAGCAGUGGUCAGAAACUGGGAGCCACACCACUACAACCGGCGAUUACAAAAAACACUGCUUCGAGGCUACGUCGGCGAGAUCGUCUCUUUGACCAGAGUAAUCGAUUUCUUUCGCAAAGUCAAUCCCACCGACAAACCUGAACCCACAACAUGUUUCCCGAAAUGAAUCGAUUCCCAGAAAAUCUGAUACUCCUCCCCUCUAGUCCCCUACCUAGCAAAAAGAGAGAAUGCAGAUCUAUCCCUCAGUCUCCGGCGUCGACCAUCCAACGUGAAAUCUCUGAAACCUAGCUAUCUUAAGAUCCGGUCAAGGAAACGCAAAAUCUUUGGAGCUGAGAGCGACGGCGGCUCAAACCAUAACACUCAUCAUCCAGAUUCCGAGAUUAGCCAUCAGAUCCAGAUAGAUCUAAUGUUAAAAGCCUUGACAAGCAGCAAAAAACCCACCGAUUCGUUAGGUUCCGCCGCAACCACAACUACCACCACGAGCAAUUAACCGAGAGCAACCUCUUCCACGAAACCACCAACGUCCUUGACCAGAAGCAAAAUAUACAGAGUCUUCUCCAUACCGCCGUAAUAGUCACCACAAAUGCAAUACCAACGAAUACUCCACACCCAACGCUGCCGGAGAAGAAAGCCGGCCCACUCCCGUUUAACCGAGCAAUUUCACGCAUGCGAUGAAGAACCAGAAGCAAAAAGAAAAAAUGAAACGAAAAAGCUAGAUCUGGUUUUUGAGGAGAGAGAAGAGAGAGAAACGUGGGGAACAAUUGGCCCUCGUAUCUAUCAGAAAAAAAGAAGAAGAAGAAAUCUUAUCCAAAAAACUCUUCAAUCCCAAACAAAGCAACUAAUCGAGCAAGAAGAAAUCAAAUCAAAAGCAAAACGAAAUCAUAAACAUAAAUAGAGAAGUCAUAGGGUUAAGAAUACUCAUCUAUGAGAUACAAAAGAAGGAUUCGUCUCCCUUGAAGCAAUAGAACGAAUACAAAAGAAGAAACUAUGAAAGAAAGUGUUUAGAUCUAUGGAAAUGGUGCGAGAGAGAGCUCGCAAUCAAGAGAUCGAGUUCUGUGGCGAGCUUUACGGCUAAGAGGCCGUCUUAUUUCUUCUAAGGAGUUUAGGGAUUUUCUCCAGUUGAAAUAAUUAAAGUGUUGUCGUUUUGGUACAAAGGAGUCGGAGAAUGAUUUGGCACCGAUCAAGUAGCUUGUGACCGGUCCCAUGAGUUUCUUUUUACUCUUGGUGACCGGUGUGAUUGUUCUUUGGUCAAAUCUUCAUUAUAUGCUUGCUCCCUCUAUGAGUGUAUCUUCAAUAUAUCAGUCAUAUCUCUUGAUUGGCUCAACGGUUUUGUGUCAUUCUACUUGGAGGGGAAAAGUGACUCUUUUAUAUUUCCAACGACUCCAAGAUCAUCAACUUUGGUGAAGAUAAAGUCCUUUAGUGUAUGUCAUACUUUUGAUGCUCCAAAUCUGUUAUACAAUGGGUUUUGCUCCUUUUUUGGUCUUUUUGCAUAAAAACCUAUAAAGACCUUUUCAAACUAGAGAUACUUGAAAACACCUUUUAAAGAACUAAAACCAUGUCAAACACUUCUUAAAAUCAUAAGAAAACUAUAGUAAAAAUGGAUCAAAAUACGAAAUUAUCAACUCCCCCAGAUUUAGACUUUGCUUGUCCUCAAGUAAACAAGAAAGUAAAACCGAUGGAGAGGUUUGAAAUUCAUGGGAACUCUCUUAUAUUCAGAGACCAUGUUCCAAAAGAUGACAUGCAGACUCAUAAAUACAGAAACAUCCCGUUAGAACAUUUUCAUUAUAGACUCACGACAUUCACAAUCCUGAUCCAUCCAUCUCAAACAUACAAGAGGACUCUGAGAUCACGUUAGUUAACUCUCUAUAUUCAUUAAAAAGUGGUUUGAGCUUUCUAAUUAGGAGGUGUCAUUCAGGGUAGACGUUGCUUGGUAUGAAAGGGGCUUUUUGGUGGUUGAUGGCGGAUUUAAAUGUUUAGGGUUUACCAGGUGAUAGCGAAAAUGUAGGAUAUGUAGCAAAACCGCAAGAGAAAACAGACUUGCUGAUAUCCUCAGUUUCCAACCACUUUUCGUGUAACACCUUUUUUCCUUUUAUUCUUUUUCUUUUCAAUUCCCAAGACUUAGAUUUUUCAACAUGGUUCUCUGUGAUUGACUCCAUCUCUUCUCUAAAGUGAUCCAUGUCUUUCCUUGUGACUUCUCCUCUGCCAUUAGACUCUCUUAAUCGUAACCGUUUCUUUUCCUUUCGUUUUCUUUUUCUUUUUCUCCCUUUUUUUUGAAAAGGGAAACAUAACUCUUAAUCAGUCUAAUGAAAAUAAAUUAGUACCUUUUGUUAGUCGAAUCAUGAUAACAUGAGAUUUUCACCCAUAUUUGCUAUUGUUUUCUUAUGUUUUAGGAAGCAUUUGGUGUGAUUUCAGAGCCAAGAAGGUGAUAUUCAAGAAUUUUAGGAGUCAAGAAGGUUUUAAGAGAUUUUGAGCAUUAAAGACCAAAAGGUGAUCAAAACCCAUUUCAAGACAGUUUCUAUACGUCAGAAGUAUAAUUUUCCCGUUGGUUAAGUGUAGCUCGAGUUUCUGGACCGGUUAGAAGUUUUAGUAACCGGUGGUAAGAGUAGAUGGCAGCCCGGGCACGGGCUUGAUGGCCGGUGUGGCCUUGAAUCUCUGGAACGGUCGUAUAGCUUGAGGCCGGUCUGGACAUGUCUUUAUUCUUCAGGUCGUAACUUCCUAAUGACUAAAAUGGAUUGCUAUGAUUCUACUUCGAGGCAAAUCUUGACUAUUUCAGCUUUCCACAGCCACCAAGAUCUCUGGAUUUGGUAAUCGGGAAGACCUCGACCGGACAACGCUUUUACCCCUAAACCGACUUCUUGGUCCCAAGAACUAUAAAUACUCGAUGAAAACCCUAAACCUAGGUGUGCUUCUUCGUGCCUCCUUUGUUCUUUCUUGGUGCCGUGCAAACCUUCCUCCCUUGAAGGUGCAUCCACCACGUUGAAUCUGAAGCCUUGAAGUCCACCAAAUCUCCCUCUUUACUCUGAGAUCUAUUAAGGUGAAGUCUUACCUCUUGUAUUCUAUAUUCAAAGAAGUAAUCUCUAAACCUUAUUCAGUUCUUAUUUAUCUAUUUCUUAUGAGUUUAUCAAACCUUACUUUGAUGAUCUCUUUAACCAUGAUAGAGUAGUUUUCUAGUUGGGUUUAAAGGGGGGACAUGAUCGAUCGUCUAGGUGGCAAAACUUAGGGUUUUGUUUGAUCGUUUACACUGUAAUUUUUCUAGUUAAGAUUUCGCUUAAUGCAUGUAAUUAGAUUCAUGACCCAACUCUUGAUCCCAAGUGUUUACGUUUCUCACAAGGUUGCUAAUACACUCGAACCUAACUUACGAAUGUGUAUCAUGUUAUAAAAAGCGCACACCACUUAGUUAUAGGGUUUUAUGGACUUGAGUCAAACUUGAUCUUAUUGCUUUGAUCUAUGCUUUGUUGCCUGCGUCAGUUGAGUAACAGAGUAUAGGGACUUUAGCCGACUUAUCUUAUAACCUAAGGUUAGUCGAUCUUUAGUAUUUCGUAUGUCAAAGACUUGUAAGUAAACAAACAUAAUUCUAGUAUUUCUUAGUUAGAAAGAUUAUUAAAUCCACUGCGAUCCCUUGAAUGCCCAACGUUUGUCUCAUAUUUAUUUACCUGCUAUUUACCUGCUUUCUUAUUUGAUUUCUUAUUUACUUUACUUGCAAUCGUGAAACCAACAACAACCUCUUUUUUUUUUAUUUGUCCUAGCUUUACUUUCUUCUGACGGAUUCAUUUGAACUACUUCUCUCUCUGUGGAAUUCAAUCCUUAAAUACUACAGACGAUUUACUGUGUACUUGCAGUAAUCGUGUGGUCCUUUGAGGUAAAAGACUGAAGCAGAAUAACACACACAUCAAAUCCCAAGGAAGAAUAAGCUCUAGACCAAAUCGUCACAAUCUCUUCUUAGUAUUCCGAAUUUUCCGUCUUCGUGGCGAGAAACUAUCUCGUUCUUUUCUGUCCGAUGUUUUUGCACAUAGCUACUAAAAUGAUAAAGGAAAAAGAGAAUACAUGAGGUCUAAAAGAGGUUAGGGUUUAAGGGUAGGAAACAACUAAAAGUGAGUGGCCAUUCAGGAUCAGCAGAGAGUUAUAAAAAGAGAUAAGAAGUCCUGAAUGUAUAUGCUCAUUUCCCUGAUCUUCCACUUCUUAUGAGAAAGAAUUAAGGUCCAGUUAAUCUUCCAAUAAAAUAGAGUUAACGUUAGAUCAAAUAGAAUCUUUGUAAGAUGAUACUUCAAGGGAAAGAUCCUGUUGUGAGCUUCUAUGUAUCGUCCGUUCUUAGCAAGUCCUGCAAAACAUGUCACAAACGAAUUAGAACAUAUAAAGGUCAAAUUUGAUCAUAUGAUAAGAUCAUUCCCUACUCGAUAAAAUGUAUUGAUGUUAAAAAUUGGAAAAUAUCUCAAAUCAACAAAAUAUAAAGUAGCAUUAGUAGAGGGAUGUAAUACUUCCUCAGACUUAAAUCACACCGUCUACGGUGGGAAAAAAAGAAAGAGAAGAGGAUGAAAUAGAUAAAUGGAAAAGAAAGAUAGGUUUAAGAACAAUGUCACAUACCUUGAAUGAGAUGGAAUGAUGGUAGAUGGUGGAUGGUGCAAUGACUAGCUGUAUGAUCUUUCUUGGUUUAGCUUGAGAUUGGUUUAACUCGGCUAAGUUAAUCAAAUUCUAUCUUUAUAAAUCUCUAUUUACAUCUUUCUUGAGACAAAAACCUUAACCAUUAACAGUUUUAAGAAAAUAAAAUACGAAAAACAUACCUAAGAGAUAAGGUGAUCUCAUUGUUGACGUCAAUUUGCCCAUAGUUGAGAUUAGUACCGUUGUGACGUAUGGUACAAACAGUAUACGAGACGGAUAAUCGCGGUAUCGAAAUGGGUGGGUUGCGGUGAACUUCUUGUCGGACUAGUCAUGAACAUGGUGGCUUGGCUGCACUGAUUUCGGAAUGUUGGUGGUUUCUCAUGGUGGCACCAGUGACGCGUGAUAUGAGCGGUGGUGAUCCAUUUGUUCCAUUUGUCGUUGCGGUUUUCUCCUUCGUUUUCUUGAUCUAGUCUGUGAACGGACAUAUUUUACUCGACCAUUUUCUACAAAAUAAGCAUGUUGUCAAUGAAUUUAGAAUCCCAUGGCGGUUCUUGAACUUCGAAAGCACACGUCUCGGGCGUAGCAUGGUGAAGGGUCUCAACGGAAAUCUUCAAAUCUAAACCGUAGACAACUUUUGUCGAUAUCUUCCAAAUUUCUCCGACACUUGACUUGUUUUCUUCAAUCAUUCUCUUCAUAAUAUCCACUUUCCUUGCAAUUUCUUCAUCUCAAGUAAAUCGUGCAAAGUUGAAUUUGGUGGUACGGUGAUGGCUCUUUUCUUGAUCCCACACAUUUUCGGUAGGAUCCACUUGGAUAUGUCCACGUCAUCAUUACACAAUAAUCCUCUCGGAUUUCUAGAUAUUUUAUUGGACUUGACCAGUCGGGAGUUCGAUUCAGUUUACCAAAGGAGUUCGAUUUUUACUAGUAUGGAGUUUGCUCUUAUUCAGCAUACAGUUCGUAUAGAGAAAGGCCGAAGCGAGGAGAAUACUGUUCGAGGUUCGCGGUAGCAUCAAAGCACGGGAGUUCGGAGUCAGCAAGAAAGAGUUCGGAAGGCCCAAGUGAAGCCCAAGACAAGUUCAAAUUCAAGCCGUUUCGGUCAAAAUGUAACUUAUGUGAUUAAUGCGGAUCAAUAUGAUUACGAGUAGUAAAUAUCCGCAUUAAUCAUGUUUUCUCUAUAAAAACAACCUCAAACGCAUGUGUUUGAGAGGGACAAUCUUUGACUUAUCACUAUCAAGCAAUACAACAUACUUUUUUCUCUUACAAUUCCGCAAGGCUUUUUGUAUUUUCGUUCUUAUCAAAUUCCUUUACUUUAUUCUUUUCUUGGUUAAUUUCUCUUUCGAAUUCUUAUAUUCAUUCGUUGAUUUUAGAGUUUUUCUCCACAAAAAUACUUAAAGACAAUCGAGUGUGAAUCCUACAUCCACAUUUUGGCGCCGCCUGUGGGGAGUUACCGCAAAACUCUUUAAUCUCAAAAUCUCUCUUUCUCAAACCAAGAAACUAUGGCUGAUCAGCAAGCUUUGAGCGAUGCAAUUACCUCGCUUAAUCAGACAACCACUAGUCUGACUACUCAGAUUGGUACACUCGUUGGUGCCAACACCACUUUUAGUGAAAGGUUGAACUCAAUCGAGCAAACUUUGACGAGGGUUCAAACCACUCAGGCAGAUUUAUCAAACGCGCAGAACGCAGUUUCAAGCCGUUUAAAUACUUUGCCUUCAGUAGCAGCGCGUCAGUGUAGGCUAUUCUUAACUCCCGCCCAAAACAGGACCGAGAAUACUCAAACUUUUCCAGCAUGCCAUCCUGCUAGUGCUAGCAAUCAGGCAGCCGUAGGAGAUGGGUCCAACCUAACCGGGGAAGAAAUUCCCCAAAAUCAGGGAAAUCCUGCUAUUGACGACGGAUUCCUUAUGGAAGAUCCCGAUGUCACCUUUUCAGAUGAUUUCGUCAAAGUUCGUCAAGAGCUUGAUGAAAUGAAGUCGAAGUUUCAUCAGGCGACCAGUUCGGUGCCUGAGAUCGAUCGAGUAAUCGAAGAAACUCGAUGAACACCGUUCACUUCGAGAAUCUCGAACCUUUGGAUCAAGGAUUCUCGAAAGGUCAAAUUACCAACUUAUGAUGGUAAAGGAGAUCCUAAAAAUCACCUCGCUGCUUUUCAGAUCGCUGCUGGCAGAAUUGAUCUAGAACCAGAUAAGGAAGAUGCUGGAUAUUGCAAACAAUUCUCCGAGAAUCUAUCCGGAUCGGCUCUACUAUGGUUCACUCAGUUGGAGCCUGGAACUAUUGAUAGUUUUAAGGAAUUGUCUUCUGCAUUCCUAAAACAAUAUUCCAUAUUCAUGGCAAAGGCAACCUCUGAUGCUGNNNNNNNNNNNNNNNNNNNNNNNNNNNNNNNNNNNNNNNNNNNNNNNNNNNNNNNNNNNNNNNNNNNNNNNNNNNNNNNNNNNNNNNNNNNNNNNNNNNNAAAGGGGUCGCCAGGUUGGUGUGAAGACGGCAGUGCAGCGCGCGCAAAACUAAGUUUGUGGACCGAGCGUUUCCAAAGGUCAAGGGUAACUCGGUUAUAGAAAGUGAUCUGAACACUUCAUACUUUCACAGGAAGGUUGUAGGAAGAAGAAGCAGAAACCAAGUUCACUACUUGUUGGAUGCGUCUGGUAAUAGGCUGGAAGGGAAGGAGGCAAUUCAAUCACACUGUAUUGACUUCUUCUCCUCCACUCUCGGUGAAGCUCUUUCUAUCCAAGCUCCGCAUCUCAAGCCUCACCAGGAUCAAGUGCUCCAAUGCCUUGAUUCCUUUAUUCCCCUGUUUCUGCUGAAGAAAUCGGUGGUGUAUAGCCUUCCAAGGAACAAGACCCCAGGUAGCACACCAGAUGGGUACACGGCUGAAUUCUACCAAAAGACUUGGGAUAUAACUGGCUAUGAUCUUACCUUGGCUGUCAAAGAGUUCUUCUCAUCAGGUCAGAUGCUGCAACAAUGGAACUCCACUGUUAUCUGUCUCAUUCCCAAGAAGACUAAUGCUGAGAAGGUAACAGAUUUUCGCCCAAUCUCCUGCUGUAAUGUUCUGUACAAGAUCUUCCCAAAGUUUCUGCAACUUUGCACAAUAAAGUUCGACACUCAUCGUCCCCUGGGUACAACCUACAAGUUCCUUUGUCAACUGUUGCACACGAACCCCGUUUGUAACAGAGAAACGUUUCUUGAGACUAUCCUAGAGUUCCUUCGCAAUCUCCCGAUCCGUAAUAGUCGAGCGGAUGGAAGGAUCAAUCGUGUUGUAAAUCCAUGAGACAAUCAUGGAGUUUACGUUCAGCCAAUCCUCUUCCUUUUUUCUUACUCAACGGAGAAGCAAGUCCUACUUUCCCGGGAGAAAGGUAAAUGCAUUCUUUUUGAAUGAAUACCCGCUAGCUGUAGCAAAGGAAGAAGGCAUAUAGACUCCGCCUGAUCUGAUCACAAACAUGUACUGAUUUAGUUCCAUUUAAUUGUUCCAAAAGAGUCUUCAUGUUCGUAUAGUAUGUAGAGAGAUCCGGAUUUCCUUGGCGCAGAGAAGCUAUUUCUUGUUCCAGCUGAUACACUCUCGAAGAUCAGUUGCAACUUCAUUUCAAGCUUCGUGACCUCGGUCCUCUCAAGUACUUCCUUGGGCUUGAAAUUGCUCGGUCUACAGAGGGUAUUUCAGUUUGUCAACGCAAAUAUGCUCUGGAUCUUCUUGAUGAGACAGGUUUGUUGGCUCGCUGAGACCUCUUCUAUCCCUAUGGAACCUAAUCUCAAGCUGUCUAAGGAUUCUGGUGGUGAUCUGGUUGAUGCAGAGUUGUAUCGUAGGCUUAUUGGCAGGUUGAUGUAUCUGACUAUUACUCGUCCAGAUCUCACUUUUGCUGUCAACAGGUUAAGCCAGUUCUCAUCAGCAUCUCGUACAGCCCAUAUGCAGACAGUUUACAAGGUUUUACACUAUGUGAAAGGGACAGUUGGGCAGGGUCUUUUUUAUUCUGCUACAUCUGAUCUUCAGCUCAAGGCUUUUGCUGAUUCUGACUGGGCUUCUUGUCCCGACACACGGCGCUCUGUAACUGGCUUCUGUUCAUUGGUUCCUCUCUGGUUUCUUGGCGCUCUAAGAAAGAGCAUACUGUCUCCAGGUCUUCUGCAGAGGCAGAAUAUCGAAGCCUUGCAUCUGCUGUAAGUGAAAUGGUUUGGCUCACAAAUUUCUUGCAGGAACUUGGCAUUCAAAUGAGUUCUUCUGCUCCUCCCUUUUGUGAUAACACUGCUGCCAGACAUCUUGCUAUCCUGUUUUCAGCGUACUAAACAUAUAGAGAUCGACUGUGUGUUAGAAGUUGGUUGCAGGUCUAUUCAAGCUUCUCUCCGAACUGAUCUACAAAUUGCAGAUGUUCUCACAAAGGCAUUACAUCCAACUCCUUUCCACAACUUGGUAAGUAAGAUGGGUUUGAUCUCUAUUUGAUCCCGGGGGAAUUUUGUGAUGUAAUGUGAUGAAUUGUAUAGUUGCAUCUGUGAUUGUGAUGAAUUGUAUAGUUGAGUCUGUGAACCGGUGUUGUAUAAACCGGUGUAGGUACUUUUCUCUCCUUUGGUUAAAGCUCCGGAGCCGUUCCUAGUAGUAGCUCAAUACCCUGAGUAGCUGCGAGAGUCUUCCUCCUCAGGUCGGAAUAGCCUGGCCUAGAUUGUGUGUGUAUUAGGUAGUUCUCUCUCUUUUAUAAGAAAGAACUAUUAUACAACAUCCCCAGGCUUGAGUUUUCUUCUCAACUCUUUCUAUCCAAUAGUUUACUGCUGCUUUCUUUGAUUUACCCCACAAGGAAGAAUCAGGCUUAUCCUAUUAUCUUUAUGCCAACUGUAUUUAAAUCUAUCAUCACAUUAUGAUUACACCACACCAUUCGAAAGACGAACAUCAAGAUCACAUUUCAGGGACUACAAGAUUUUGAGAUUGGCAGCAUUAAGUAGAAAGCAUUAUUGUAGAAGGGCCCCCCAUCCAAUAGAUCAGGGGUCUUGCCCUAUAACCUAGUGAAUAGGGAAGAACAGAUCAAAUAUGUCUAGUUCAAAUGUCUUUCCUUUGCGGCGGAGUGAACUAAGCACCAAUCGGAAUGCCUAGCGUGCUUGCCCCUCUUCCUUCCGCUUGCCACCUUGAUCUAGCCCUCUCGCUUGACUGACACAUGGAACUCUAAGCUUCAAGUGACACAUCCAUCUCAGUCAAACAUCUCUACCACUUUAUGCAUCUAAUUCAUUCCAGGGUUGGGUCAUUAUAACCACUUGAUCGACAGAAUGGGUGGGAAGAUGGAGUGAAGUUAGUUUUUCGAUAGCUUCCAUCGUUCCAGGGUUCGAAGGUCUGGAUCCAAAGUCAGAUAAGAAUGUUUUGCUAAUGCGGCCAAGGACAAAAAGAAUGGAAAAUGAUUUCUGUACUAAAGAUCUCAAUUCAAUAGGGGAUUCAUUGCCGAGAUACAAAUUGGGUUAUUCCGCUUGUUGAAAAACAAGACCGAAAAAGAAGCUACCUCCUUCCGUGCGCCCCUCACUUCCUAUCUUCAGAUGGACAGUGAACCAAGACAUGAAGAAGUGCAACAGAACGAACUUAUCCUUAUAUAAGAUGAAUUUUCUCUCUCUUCUACCUAUGAUCAGUAGAUUGAAGACCAACAACAUCUCGAGAAAGAAGGAAAAGAAGUAGAAUCAAUCAACGGCACCUAGAUCAUGAAACGGGCAUCUCUUUCAUCUGCCCUAGGAUCCCAUCUCUCUUCGAUUAUUCAAGUGAUUGAUAGUUACAGGACAGGGACAUCUCACUCCGCCUUGAUCUUUAUUUUUCUACGAUACGACCAAAAGAUCUCCUUAAAAAUAUCGAAGAGCGUAUAGAUCACAUUUUAAGUCGAAGCAGAGGGAAGAGGGCAUAGAGUCACCGACUAAAGCAAGCCAGGAAAGGUAAUUGCUUACAGACAGACCAGAUUUUUGAAUAGCAGCUUACUCUCAAACACCGUAUUCCGCCAAAACCAUUUACUACGCAAACAAGACCGGCAACUGGUUGAGCUGAUAGGACCACAGCUGAGAUUUACUCAAGAGCGUCUGUGGCUAAAAGACUAGCAGCAUAUUCUUUCUUCAAUUGCGACAGGAGCUCAUUCUUUCGCAGCUUAUUCGUCGUUUGGGCAAAUGGAUGUGGGAUGGAGCUUGAACUAAGGGACCCGGGGCGUAGCCUUGAUUCAAAGUGUCUAGGUACCAAGAGUAAAGGAAGGAGGGCUAACUAAUAUAAUAGGGGUAGGGGGGCGCUAACGAGCCAGAAAGGGCCCCUUUAUUAGUAAGGUUGCUUGCUUGUCACACAGGUCGUCUUUGGCUCGUCUCCUUCCGCGAUACGCACCUGGUAGUAUCCCGCCCGGCCGUAGAUCCAACUUCGAGAAGUAUCUCGCGCGGGCGAAGAAGUCUGCAAUAAAAGUGGAUACUUGUUUUUGAUAGUUAGGUUACCUUGUUGAGCGCCCGAUAAUCAAUGCACAAGGCUCCCGCUUUUUCUGGAAAGGGGCUCCCCAACCUUUUCCCAGCAGCAAUCAAUAUAGGGAAAAACUGCCUUGGAGGCUGGAAUCAAAAUAGGCCUCCAUGAGUUCCUGAAAUUUUUUCCUGAGUUCAACCAAUCCCCUUAACUAAUAGAUGCUAGUUGGGGGCCAUCCGCUUAACCCAGAGCCCCAGUCUAAAUAGUUGGGGGUUUGGCUCCAGGCUCCAACUCGAUCUUGUGGUAGACUGCCCUACUAGGGCGCACUUGGCAACUAAUUCGUGGGGCAUGAUAUCCCAAAAUUCCUCAAGUACUUGCUGCACUUCCUGAGAAAGAAGUAGUCUUGGUAUUGGAUCCGCUCUUCUGAGAGCAUGAACAUCAAUUAGAUUCAAUUCCUCUUCUUUAUUCUUAAGAGAAACCCCCCCCCCGAACCAUUCUUAAGACCACCAAGCUCUCUCGAAUGAAUUCUACUCUUUCUGCUUUCGAGAUACAAGAGUAGGCAAAUUGAUUCCCCACUAAGGUGUAAAACUUUGUGACUCGAUCGUCCUGAAAACGGAUGCGACGGGAAGAAGUGGCAUUUGUAAGUGUUGCUGACUUAACAUUUAGGUUUCGGCAUAACAAAGCUUGCACUGUCUUUUCGCACUUAGGCGCACAGCGUGCCAUUGGUAAUGAUUCUACUACGGUGCCACAAAUUCGCAAGCUGAUCCUAAGUAAUCGUUGUUGUUCAUUGGAUUCCGGAGGAACUACUUCGUUAGGAUUGGGGAAUUGCUGCGAUUCUUCCUGAAUAGCCUGGAUUCUCCCGUCGAGAGUCACUUUGAAAGUCGUACCUAAACUCUUACGACUGAAUAUGAUAAAGCCUAUAAAACAAAGAGCUACUAUCAUUUCUUCAUUAUAGAUUGAGAUCUUCUUCGAACUUAAUGCACAAAUAGAUAGAAUAGCAGCAAAUAACAUCUUUCUAGCAUCCAUAUUCGUCGAACUCAAUCUCAUUUAGAAAGCUUAUCCCCAUUUAUUUUUCAGCAACUGAACGGGAAGUGGUUUAGGAAAGGACUUUUGAAUCGGAUGCGCUCGCCCAGCGAGAAAGGCCCUGACCCUGCCGACCAAGAAAAAAAGAGAACGAAAGGAGAAGAGAACUUCGUAUUUUCCUUAUUUGAGAAGAGGUACAAAGUGACUCGACUGAAAGAAGAGGUCCGAAGGAACAAAGGAGCUCGACUGUAAGGUCCACCAGGUCUCGACGAGCGACUGAAAGGAGAGGAAUGGUUAACCUUGAAUGCUAUUAAUAAAUUCUACAGCAAUAGUACCUCGGACUCGGAAAGUUAUAACGAAAAUGGCUAACCCAAUAGCGGAUUCCGCAGCUGCCACCGUUGGAACCAAUGAAGCAAAUACUUGACCCAUCAUAUCAUCCGAAGAAACGGAAAAUACCAAAAAGUUCGAAUUCACAGCUAAUAACAUUGAUUCAAUUGGCAUUGACAUAAUAGGAAUAUUUCGUCUAUUAAGGAGGAUUCCCCGAAUACCUAAAAUAGAAAUAAUCAUAGAAAAUGUGAAAUAUUUGAUAAGAUCCAUUUCGGGAACGUGGAAUCUAAGAUAAAUUCAAAUGUUAUUAGAUGACAAGCUCGACCGAACACCUGAAGUCCUUGAUAUUUAGGUUAGGGAGACACGCGCGCAUUCCUGACAACAGGCACGGGCGAUAAUCCAGGCAAGCUUCCCCGCAAGCCUCACAACAGACACGUCCCAGCUGUCCGACCGUAGGCCCCGCUGCUGCGGCAAGGCGCGGCAGCCCUCUGACCCUGCGAAAAAGAGCUUCCCAUCGGUUCAGGCACCAUUUUUUUUGAAUAGGUGGGACUUCGGUGAUAGGUUGUUUUUGAUCCCAUGGGGGAUCUAGCGAUUUUCCCCGUUCCCCCCAAGAGGAGAUUGGUUAGGAACAGGAUGGGCAACUUCAGCCGGUGCUGGCGCCUGCGUAAGCGGCUCUUGAGCCGCUAAAGAGAACCAAUAGACACGACAGCUGGGCCAGCACCAGAAGUGGAUUUACUAAAUCCCCCUUAUCUAUUUCUGGGUAAAUAAGUUGGUGACUAACAACAAAGACAAAAAAACUUGCUACCAAGAAGACGAUGGAUAAGAGAAAAAUUAGGGUAUUUUCUCCUUCCGGUUUGACUUGAGAAAAAAAAAGGAAUAAUUUACACCGACUAAGAUCAAAGAAACUAGCAGACUAAUCACUAAAAAGGCCUUUGGUUCAAAUUGUGACAUCUAUCUUAACUUACUCAAUUAUCUCGUGAACUAUCUGCUUCAAAAAGAGAGUUGGUUGAAUGAGACUGAAACCCUCUUUCUUCGAGGAGGGCACCACUUCGACUAAUGCGGGCGCGGUUCCCUCGUCGUGAAAUAAGUAAUGAAAGGGAAGACCCGCCCCCGGUCAACUUUAUUGUUGCCUGUAUAGCUUUUUAGAACAGAGAUCUAGCAACGCAUUCUAGGCACAGAUCAUUGGUAUUGGAUGUAUCGUUAGGUUGUGCCGAGUCAAAUCUGCUCCGUUUUUUUUCCGUUGCAGAAAAGAGAUCCCUUCCCUCCGCUUUCUAAAAUGAGGAAUAUUAAGUCCGUGGGGCUGCAGGUACUAUGGAUCCUCUGACUCCCAAUCGGGUUGCCUUCCCUGGUCUCGCCGGUCUUACCUGUAGGUCAUGAUGUGCUUUGAGAUGGCCGUCUCCUGUCCCCCUGCCGGUGGGGAAUCUGCUCCCGGGUUGUCGCUCUGCUGCGUCUGGCCCGUCCUCUAGGCACCUUUGGAAGGCAGGGAGUGUGACAAGACAACAUACACGCUUCCCUUUACCCCAUAGGGCCUUCUUUCUCAUCAGUUGCAGGGUUUGGUGGCCCGAAAGAAACUUGGCUUCGCCAAAAGGCCUCAUCUCUGGAAGCCCGGCUCGCAAGGCGUCCCUCUCGCUGUAGGGUUCCAAAACUCGCCUCGCUCUUGGGACAUGCUAUCUUUCCCCUCUUGAUUCUCAAGUAAAGGGUGAGUCCCAUGCGUCAGUUUGUGGAUCGCGGUCUCACGCACUAAUCCCUACAGGCGGGUGCCCGUAGUAGGCCGGCCGCCCUACCUAAACCAAUCAUCAUAUCGGUCCCUAAGCCCCAUUGCUGGAAAGGCUCGGCUUCAAAACCGUACGUGGGGCUUCCGCCUCAUACGGCUCCUCUAAGGAUGGAGGUAGGCCCAACCCAGGCUUGCGUGGUUAAGGUUGUUGUACACCUGCCAAUAAGAAAACAUUCAGUUUUCGGGGGGUCGGUGCUCGCGUGUCUGCAGGAGGACACGGAGCCACGAAUUACGUAAAGUAAGGCGGGACUCAUUCUCCUGUUGCCUUACUAAUUCCUGAUCAAGCCCCUGCCUCCAUAUGUUGAGUUGAGCAUCUCGUACCAUAUCCAAGGCGCGAUUGCGCGCCACUUUUCCCUCCAGCUUGUGCACCUCCCAAUCGAUGCGGGCGGCUAGUUCCCGCCCACGGUAGGGAGACCUCUCGUUCUCCAGGUUACGUUGCAUUUCCUGGAUCCGUUGCAGAUCUGAAUGAAAGAGGUGAGGUCAACUCAUCCAAUAGAGGUGCCUCAGAUGGCUAAAUGGAUUAUAUGAAUGCUUAUUCCGCCGGUCGGAAUGCCCGGACUGAGGAAGAUGUGUACGAGGAGCAAAAACGAGAUUCCUAGCCUUCCCUCCCUUUGAAGUGCAUUUAUCAGAUCAGCUCCCAGAGUAACUAGAAAGAGGGUGAAAGGCCCAACUUCUUCAUUCAUGGCCUUUUUUGUUUCUUUGGAUUGAUCUCCCUUUCGUAUUCAUUCGACCUGAGGCAAAAGAGAAGUCAUAUAAAAAAGAAAGGUUCUUUCAUGCAAUGCAUAACGGGUGGGCCUCCUAUGGAUUCCUCUAACUCAAUGAAUGAAGGGAGGAGUAUGAGGAAGGCCGGCUUUCUGGAUGAAAAUGAAAACAAAAAGGAAAAGGGUCAAACCAUAUCUUACUUAAUAAUCUGACUGAAUGACGAAGAGCUCUUUAUGUGGUCUCACUUUACCACCAUCUGAAAUGCGCGAAACUUCGAUUUGUGGAAGCUAGUCCAUGAAGAUUCUCCCUUUUCCUACGUGCACUUCCCCUCUUUUGGUAAGCAUCCAGUAUCUCAGCAAAUGAACAUUUCUCUAAGCUUAUCCUAUAGCUUAUACGUCGUUUGAAAGCUGCUUCAAGGAUCCAACGAAUAGCUAAGGUUUGUUGACGAUCCCUGGCUACAAUCCCAGGGACAUCAUAAAUAGUACCCGCUACUCCUACUUUUGCUACUUCGCAUAUGGGCUUUAUAUUCUCUACGGCGUCAACCAUAAGUUUGAUUACAUCGCGUUCAGUUCGAGCUGGGCGAUGAAAAGUUUGAUAAACAAUAGCACGAACUCUCGUUCUUUUACCUUCUUUCAUGCGAAAAUUGACCAACUUCUUGAUCAAUAGUUUUUGCUCACCAUCCAAGCCCCCCAUAUAGCUGAAAAUUUCCGAGCAAUUGGAAGCCGCUUUCGAUGACGAGGCCGAUAAAUUUAUAUUACGCAAUCGUUACUGUCCAUCUUUAUCAGCCAACUCCCCAGUUUCUAUCUUUCCUUUUAGAGUUUACCACUCUUCAUAGCUUCUUGAACUUUCUUUAGGGUCUUGCUCCCUGAGUUCCAGAGUCUACACUCUCGCGUCAUAUGGCUACGCCCCGGAAUCAUUUUAUACCUCUUCUUUUAGUCGAGUUUGUUUCACAACCUCUCCCAACAAGUGGUCGAGUUCCUUUGUACCUUUCCUUUGACCAAGGGGUCCUCGAACCAACCUGUCCUCCCUCAAUCUCCAAGAAUUACCCUCCCACGCUAAAAAAAAAGUAGCAUUUCCUGGACGUAGGUAGAGUCAAACUCUUUUAAAUAUAUAGACUGGAUUCCAUUUAGAUAUAAGUCAUCAUAUAUAUAUAUGAGUUCAGACAUAUCUGAAUCGUCCACGAGGACGAAAUUUAUAUAUAUAUAUAUAUAUAUAUAUAUAUAUAUAUAUAUAUAUAGGGCUAAUUGUUUUUUUCAGCUCAGGGUUCUUAAUUUUUUUGAGCCGGCCCUGCUUUUCUUGCCAUUUCUAUUGAUGAUAUAGGAAGAUACUCCACCUGAAUAUAAUACACACACAUAACUAUAACCUUUUGUUACAUUCCACGAACUCCAAAUUAUGAAUUACAAGAAACUACUAUUAAUUCAUCAUCAAUAUUGUUUGUUAAAAUAUCUCAACUUACUCAAAAGCUAUAACACUAGUUACCUCCAUGACUAUGCCUCUGACGGUCUCGGCAUGAGCAGGAACAACUUUUUUUUUUUUUUGCUAAAGUGCAAAUAUCAUAUAGAUAAAAAGUUGGUUUUACAACCUAUACAUUGGUUUCUCGGCAAAAAAUAAACAAGAAAUCAAUACAUUUGGGAUUCAAAGCAGUCUCACUGCAGCCAGCGAGUCAUUAGGUUCUUGAACCUUUGCUUGUGUCUUCUAGCAGUGAUUGUAUUCUUUAUCUCCCUAUCAAUGUCCAAGAAGAUCAAAGAAGGCAGGAUGUAGAUUUGAUUAUGAAGGAAGUUGUUCCUCUGUUUCCAUAUGUUGUAGAUUACACAUUGCACCACAAGCUUACGGAGAGUUGGCGGAGACCUGUGAUGCUUGAUCCUAGUCCAAAUCAAUAGCUCCGACCACGUGGUAAAUUCAACCCGAGGCAAGUGAAGUCUGGUGAUAACAGCAUUCCAUAAGAAAAGCGCAAAAUCACAAGUAAUUAACAAGUGGUCUCUGUCCUCAUGAUGGGAAGAGCAAAGGCUACAGAUAGUGUCAAUGUUCAUUCCCCAACGAGCCAAUCUUGAUUUAGUUGGUAGACGAUCGAGAUUAGCGACCCACAUAUUGAAUGCAUGUCUUGGUGUGGCUCCCUUGAACCAAACAGAGUUAAACCAGCUAACCGGAUCUGCUCUAGGUCUCAGCACAGACCAAGUUUUAGAAGAGGAAAAGCCAACGCAGUUCUUAUCCUCUACCACCCAGUCAAAAGAGUCCAACUCCAGAGAAUGAGAAGGAAGACUGAUGGUCGUAAGAUAAACAUGGAGGGACAGAGCAGAUUCAGAUCUCGGAGCAGCCAAGAUCCAUCUUUCAUGGUCGCAUGCUUCAGCGACAGUAGCAUUAAGAGCAACCCUUAAGCUCCUAGGUCCAUCUGGUCCAAUAAACUUAAUAAGUGGCCCGAGACUAGUCCAAUUAUCGAACCAGAAACUUGCCUUUCUUCCAUUACCAACCCUGCACCUGAUGAAAUUUUCUGCCAACCUUCUCAGUUUUAGAAUACAUUUCCAAUUCCAAGAGUCAUUUGCCUUCUCAGUCUGAUUCCAGAAACUUGUAAUGGAGCUGCAGUUGUGAAACCUUUGCCAAGCAACCCACAACGAUCCACUCUCAGAGAAAAGCAGCCAUAUCAUCCUUAGGCAAAGAGUUCUGUUCCAGGAAGCAAAUCUCCUCAGCCCUAACCCUCCUUCUUCCUUUGGUAGACACACUUGAGCCCAAGAAACCUUCGUCAUACCAUGUGAAUCAAUACUACCAGACCAUAAGAACCUAGAGCAGAGUGACUCUAUUUUCCUGAUGCAACCAAGAGGAAGAAUAAAAGCAGAGAUCCAGAAAUUAACAAGACCAGAGAUGACUGAUGAAAUUAAUUGGAUUCUUCCCGCAAAAGAUAAAGACUUUACAGACCAGGCGUUGAAUCUUGCUGUAAUUUUCUCAAUUAACGGCGCAUACUCAGAGAUUUUAAGCUUCCUGCUCAUGAGAGGAAGUCCCAGGUAUCUAAUAGGUAACGACCCUAGAGUGAAUCCGUAGCUUGCCAAAGCAGUGGAUUCACUUAGGCUCAGACCUGCGUGAAACAAUUGAGUUUUUCUUCUAUUCAUAUGCAGCCCUGACCAUCCUACAAAAUCCUCAAGGGUUUCAUAGAUACCAUGCAAAGAAGAACUAUCUCCGCCAAAGAAAAUCAUCACAUCGUCCGCGAACAUAAGGUGAGAAAUCUCCAAUUCAGAGGUUUUGGGAUGGUAAUUGAUGUAGCCAGAUUCAUACCUCGAAUGUAGAAGACCAGAAAACACUUCCAUUGCAAGAAGAAAUAGAUAGGGAGACAGAGAAUCACCUUGUCGCAGCCCCUUAGUACUUCUAAAAAAUCCACCAGUUUGGCCAUUUAUUGAGACAGAGAAGCUAGCAGUAGAAAUACACUCAAAAAUCCAACCAAUAAACCUGCCAGAGAAAUAUAUUGAGCUAUAUAGCUCUAAGGGCAACAAUGAUGAAGUCCCAUCUCAUUGAAUCAAAGGCUUUCCUCAAAUCCACUUUCAACAUUGCACUAGGCCUGACAUCCUUUCUGUUAUAACUUUGAAUGAUCUCAGUUGCAAGAAGAACAUUCUCCAGUAACAAACGACCCGGUAAGAAGGCAGAUUGAGCAUGAUUAACACAAGAAGGGAGAACAGUCUUUAGGCGCCCAUCAAGAAGCUUAGAGAUGACUUUGUAGACCGUGUUAAGACACGAGAUAGGUCUAAAAUCCAUCAUCUUAGAAGCAUUAGGGAUUUUUGGGAUUAAGACCAGAUUGGUAGCAUUCCACUGUUUUAAUAACUUCCCAGACUUAAAGAAUUCCUGCACUGCCUCAGUAACCUCAGAUCCAAUGACAGACCAAGAAGAGCAGAAAAAUUAUGGAGUAUAACCAUCAGGCCCGCUUGCUUUGUUUCUUGGAAGAGAGAAAAAAGCUUCUCUGAUUUCAACAGAGGAGAAGUGAGAGUUCAGAUUGGCUCUCUGUUCAUCAUUGUAUCUGAACCUCAAUAGCAAAGAGAUGUCUUCCUGAAUGAAGGAGGAAGGAUCUUGAUCGCCACCAAAGUUGCAUUUGAAGUACUCCACGUAAAGAUUCUGGAUACCACUUUGAGUAUCGAUUCUAUCUCCAUUAUUGUCCAGCAGGUAGUGAAUAUGGUUCCCAGACUGUCUAGCUGAAGCAAUUUCGUGGAAACACGAAGUAUUUAAAUCACCUUCUCUGAGCCAAGUGACUCUGGAUCUUUGGCAAAAGAAGCUUUCCUCAGCAUUGGAAAGAAUUAACCAUUUCCUGUGCAGCUCAACCUUAAUAUCCACAUUAGUAGGGCUAGGAGACAGAAGCAGAUUUUUCUGGGCAAGGAUCAACUUCUCAUGGGCCUCCUGUGUUCGUUUCUCAAUAUCAGAGUAGUUCAUGUUGCUGAACUCCCAAAUAAUAGAUUUUAGCUCCUUUAAUUUCCGGGAAAGUCUAUACAUUGCAGAACCAUGGACAUUGAAGGAGAACCAGUGAAAACAUACGAGAGGAAGGAACUCUUCACUUUUCAACAAGAAAUUAUAGAAUCUGAAAGGAGAUUUCUUUCUUGGAGAGGCAGUGUCUAGGCUAACUUCACAACGCGCGUGAUCAGAGAAGUCAGGCUCAGAAAACUGACCUAAAGAAGAAGGGAAAAGAGAAGUCCACCAAUCAUUUACAAGAAUGCGGUCGAGCUUUUUAGCAACAAGAGCAUUUCUUCUUUUAUUCCACCAAGUAAAUGUAUUUCCUCUGAAAUUGAGAUCUUCUAAACCAGCUUGAACCAGAGUAUCUCUGAAAAUUCUCGUUGACAUGUCAACAAUGGACCCAUUUACAGUUGAGUGCUCUGACGGGUGAAGAACUUGAUUAAAAUCUCCCAACACUAUCCAAGCUUUACCCCUGACCCGGCUAUCAGCAUACAAAGUAACCAGUUCACCCCAUAGGGACUGGCGGGAAGAAGCUUCAUUUGCAGCAUAGAUGGAAGAAACAACGAUAGUCUCACUGCAAUCUGGCAAUUUUACUUCACAACUGAUCAUCUGAAGAGAUUUACCAAGAACAACUGCUUUGACACUCAGGUGCCACAAAACCCAAAUCUUACCAAUAUCUAAAAAAGUAAUUAUUGUCAAAAGACCAACCCGGAAGCAGAGAGUUGAGAAACUUCUGCUGCUUAGGCUGUUUGACAUGAUUCUCCACGAGACUACCAAAAAGAGGCCGAUGGUUCUUAAACCAUUUUUUUAAACCGCAGCGGUGUGAGGAAGAAUUUAAUCCGCGAAUAUUCUAACAAAAAAUGUCUGUACACAUAAAGAUACUACUUGGAUUUGGGGCCUUUGCCCCUCGCACUUCGUUGUUGCCUCUGAGACAACACUUCUGUGAACUGCACUUCAUCCUCAAGAUCGGUAUCAUCAUCAAUAGAUUGCUCUGAAGGGACAUCAGAGGAGUCUGGUUCUUCCUCUGACGAUGACUUCCCAGCUGCAAGUUGAAUUGCCUUACCUUUCCCUUUAGCUUCCAAUGCUAAUCCGCGACCCUUAGGAGCAGGCACAGCCUGAGGAUGACUUGAACUAGAACUUGGCUUACUACCACUCUGGGAGGCAGGAGGAAUCUGAGAGGCCUUGGGAUCAAUAGAAAGAGGCUUGCUCCUAGACCCUACCACAACCCACUCUCCUUCUUUAGCAACAGGCUUAGGAGUUUUAGAGCGCCUUCUCCUGUGCUGGACCUUUUCAGUUUGCACCUUAUUUAUGGGACAAGCCUCCGGAGUAUGAGAUUUGGAAUUGCAGCCUUUGCACUGAAUAGGGGCAGCGGGACAUCUUUUGAGACUGUGGCCUACUUCCUUACAGUGACUACACACUGGCGGCAUCCAUAGACUAGAAACUUUGAUCCUGCAAAUAUCUCCAGAAGCAAACUUCACAUUAACAGCUUCGGGAAGCGGUUGCCGCGGAUCAAUAAUUGUGAAGACCUUAGCCACUUCCAAAUUUCGCUUGCUAGCCGUAUCCGGAUGGAGGAAUUUCGGGUCUCCCACAGGGCUUGCUAUUUGUUCCAACCCAUCGUCAUUGAAGAAUUGGAAAGGAACCUUUCGCAGCUCAAGCCAAACUGGAGUAGUGGUGAGCUCAGGCUUCGUUGGAACAACUCUUGGUUCCCACUUGGCCACAAACAUAGUUUGGCCUUCGAUCUUCCAGAGCCGUUGAUUCAGGACCCGAGUUCUUGUUUGGACAUUAGGAAUGCGAAACAAGAAAGCGUUACCCUCCCAUUUUGAUACAGAAAUAUCUUUGAAGUGCUUGCUCCAAAUACCAUACACAAUGGUGUGGAUAGUACCUUGCGCCGGAGGAUCCGAAUAAAACUGCCCUAGGAUAAAAGAAUCCCAAGCCUUCCGAUGCUUCUCUAUAAUCGCAUCAGGAAUCUCAACACACAAUUCACCCGAUGGAAGAGUGAAAGCUGUUCCUUUCUUGCGGAGCUUCUUCGAGGUGCCUUUGAACAUAUCACACCAACUGUCUUCCUCUGAAGAAGCUUUAAUUUCGAGUACACCUGGGUUCACCACAAUAACCUCGACGGGUGCGGUUUGCGCAGGAAUUUUGGAGAGAUUCGAGUCCAAGGACGGAACCGCUGCAAUAGGGGCUGAGGUAGACGAAUGCACGGCGGGAGCCACCACUACCUCAGAAACUUGACCUAAAAGGUCUAGAUCUGACAUCGAAAUCAGUGCCGAGGAAGGAGAAUCAACCGGAUUAGUCUGCGGGGCAGAAACUAGAUCGAUUGAAACCGGAGGAGGGACAACGUAGACUUGGAUCGGAGAGCUCUGCAUUGAGCCUGAGCCGGCUGGAACGGAGGCUGAAGGGGAGGAAGAGUCUUUGGUCGCCGGUGACUUUCCUCCAGGAGAACCUUUUUGAGACGAUUUUGCUUCCCCAUGAGGAGGGGAGGGCCUGAGAGAUCGGAAGAAAGGAGGAGCCGGCGCCGUUGAAGACGCCGAAGAUGAGCUGAGAACGAAACCACCUUAUCGCCCUGUUGAGGAGAGAGAAACGCGUUUUUUUUUUUUUUUACCAACUCUCACUUGAAAAUCACCAAGUUGAUACUGAAACCCUUCAAAGUAAAACGAGAGCUUGCAUUUGUAAGACUCAAGGUUCUCCAUGAUCAUUUGAAUCGACGAAUCUGCAUCUACGACGAUCCUCUGCGAUCUGACGACGAAGUAGUACUUACUUGACUCCUUUGGAAGCGAAACCCCUAGAAAUUCACGCGGGAACUCCGCUUGAUUUGCCUGGUCUCGCAACAUGGGUUUGUAAUAGUUGAGAGUGGCUUUCCAUUUUCCUUCUUUGACCCCAUUGAGGCUCUCUAUGCUUUGUGUAACUUUGUUUAGAAUUUGACUACUUAGUGUUGAUCCUUGAUUUGGUUGCCGCCAAUGCAAAAGCCUAGAAAACCCCCAAAGAAGAUAGAAAACAAGGUUUACGUAACAAUUUCUAUAUAAAAGAACAAUUACAAGAAUGCUUCUUCAAUUUCUAUAAUCAUCAAACGUACCAUUUGACGGGCAUGGCUUGAUGAGCUACAAAAAGUCACACGGAGAACAAAAUUAAACAAAAAUUGUCUCUGUUAAUCCUUAUCUAAUAAUUCACAAGUCACUUCUCUGUUAACUGCAACUAUCUCCAUUUGAUACCUGGCUAAGUCCCAAAAUUUCACCUUUCACUUUUUUAAAAAUAAAUAAACUUUGCUUUUAAAUAGAAAAAAAAAAGAAUUUACGAUAGAAUUUUUUUGACAAAAAAAUAAAUAUCAACUGCUCCUUUCCACGAUCUUAAGAUUCUUUUCCCUUUCUCUCCCCAUUUACGAUCUCAGUGGCAACCGUAUAAACCAUUCUGUAAAAACAGAUGUAAUAACUUCUUCUUCUUCUUCUCUCUUUUCUUAUAACCUUAGAUCCUCCAUUCUUUCUUCUAAAUAGUCUAACAAAGAAUCGAACGGAUGACGUAAACAAUGAAAGUUGAGACUUUUGUGAUGCCUAAUGUGAUGGACGAUGUUAACUUCCUACAACGUACUACGUUCGGUCCACCUAAUCGCUGGUAUGCAUAUCAUUAAAUCUUUGGCUUUGCUUUCCAGAUUUGUUGCGUUUUACUUGGUCUAUCUUCUUACACUUUCUAUGCACACCAGCUGCUCGACAAAAUGACCACACGAGUUUGCAAAAAUCAUAUAGAAACAAAAUGGAUGCAGCUUGAAUCAAUUGUAUGAACGUGGAAUUCUGCCAACAAUUUUGUAUAGAGAAACAACAAAACAGCAAAUGUUUUGGGGCUUUCAAUUCAAAAGAAGAAGAAGAAAAAAAUAAUUUGAGAGAUGGGUGGCAUGACAUGGCAUCUUCUUCCACGGUGUAGUGUGCAAAAGAAUUUAAAUGUGAAACCAUCUUAUAUGUUCAAGUUUCAAAAGCGUUUUGAUACGAAGGUAAUUCAUUUUUCCAUCAUUACUAUUGUUAGGUUUGGAGAAGAAAAAUAGUUCCGUAUAGCUUUUCUUCCUCAUCUAUUCUUUCUCUUUUUUACUGUAUAUUUGCCUGUUUCAAAAUACAAUGAAAAUUUCCUUAAUUUUUACACCUAUAUAUCACGAUUUGGGUGAAGUUGAGGUCUUGAGGAGGAUUUCUAUUGAGAGUUACAGAGCAAUUUGUAAUAUAUUCAAUCAAUAUAUUAAGAUAAAAUAAAACUAAAUAAAUUGUAUUUUGUGACAUUCUUCAUUGGUAUAAUGGUUGCAAAUUUUUUUUUUUUAAAAAACAAAAUAUACUAUUGGUAUUGUUGUUUUCCCGUGCAAAGCACGGGCUGGUACUAGUUUACAAUAAUACAAAAAGUGACACAAAUAGUCAUGAAAGAAACGUUUGGCAACUACAUGAAAGAAACGUCAUCACAUAGUCACACAUGCAGAAUUUAAAAAUGUUUUGUUAGCUACACGAAGUAUUGUCAUCCAUACGGACAUCCCCGAACUAACAUAAGUCAUGUUGCAAACACCAUAACCAUCCAUUUCCAGUGCUUCAAUUGUCGGAAUCCAGCGUUGACCGAUGUUGACCAGCGUGACCAAAAAUAUUUUUUUUCGUUUUUAUUUACUUUUGAUAAACAAUUAAAAAUAAUAAAUUAUUACAUAGUUUUUAUUCAAAUAUAAAAAUAUACCAAAAUAAAUAUACCACAAAAAAUUAUACAAAAAAAUUUUGGUAUAUGUAUUUGUAAUAUAACUAAAUAUACCACAAAAUAGACCACAAUUUGUUUUUGUGCUAUAUUUUGUUAUACAAUUUCGGUAAUAUAACAAAAUAUACAUUUUACAUUUGGAAAUCAUUUUUUAUGGUAUUCAACAUCGAACAAUCGAGAAGAAAAAUAUUAUCUUAUGGUAAAAAGUGAUUGCCAAAAGGAAAAGGCAUAUUUUGUUAUAUUACCGAAAUUUUACUAAUAAAAUAUACUACAAAAUAGUAUAAAAAAUAAACCAAAAAGAAAAGGUAUAUUUUAUUAUAUUACCAAAAUUUUAGAACAAAAUAUAGCACACAAAACAUUUGUGGUUUAUUUUGUUAUAUUAGUUUUUUAGUAA